CAGUACUAUGGUCUUCAAGAGUUUCACUCAACAUCAUUCGACACCUUUAGCACGUGCCUUCUGUUCUUCUCUCAAGGAUAAUCUGAAAAAGGCUUUAACUGGAUUUACUGGUGUCUCCGGAUCCUUUCUGCUGGACCCUAGGGUGAUUCCAGAUAGUGGAAUUUUUUCAUCACUCUUUAUUGUUGAGUUUCUUCUAUUUCUGGCUGCCUCAAAAGACAAUCGUUGGGUAACUGCAUUGCUUACUGAAUUUGGAAGUGAAAGCAAGGAAGUUUUGGAGGAUAUUGGGCGUAUCCAUCGUGAAGUCUUAUGGCAGAUUGCUCUUCUUGAAGACUCUAAGAUUGAUGUAGAGGAUGAUGCUACUGGUUCUGCGGAUGAGUCACGCCAGUCAGAGUUGGAUAUGAUUG
rnacentral:lncRNA from 1 species